rnacentral:rRNA from 1 species
GUGGGGAAUUUUGGACAAUGGGCGAAAGCCUGAUCCAGCCAUGCCGCGUGCAGGAUGAAGGCCUUCGGGUUGUAAACUGCUUUUGUACGGAACGAAAAGACUCCUUCUAAUAAAGGGGGUCCAUGAAGGUACCGUAAGAAUAAGCACCGGCUAACAACGUUCCAGCAGCCGCGGUAAUACGUAGGGUGCAAGCGUUAAUCGGAAUUACUGGGCGUAAAGCGUGCGCAGGCGGUUAUAUAAGACAGAUGUGAAAUCACCGGGCUCAACGUGGGAACUGCAUUUGUGACUGUAUAUCUAGAGUACGAUAGAGGGGGAUGGAAGUCCGCGUGUAGCAGUGAAAUGCGUAGAUAUUCGGAGGAACACCGAUGGCGAAGGCAAUCCCCUGGACCUGUACUGACGCUCAUGCACGAAAGCGUGGGGAGCAAACAGGAUUAGAAACCCGUGUAGUCC